rnacentral:lncRNA from 1 species
ACGGGCCAGCGGUGGGAGGAAAAUUAAGCUGUGAACUGGAAUUCCAUCAGGCUGUCUACUGUAAAGCCUCGUGGCUUUAGAAAAGGGGCAGUAGUGGUCAGAAAUGACACCCAAAAGGUUCAGCAGAUGAGACCAAGGGAUUUCUACUUCUCCCUCCAACUCUAAAUGAAAGACUGGAGAAGGGGAGCAUGAAAUCAGUCCACAAACUAAAUGGUAAUGUUUUAAUUACAAUUCUAUUGUUAUU